rnacentral:rRNA from 1 species
AUGAACGCUGGCGGCGUGCCUAAUACAUGCAAGUCGAGCGAACGGACGAGAAGCUUGCUUCUCUGAUGUUAGCGGCGGACGGGCGAGUAACACGUGGAUAACCUACCUAUAAGACUGGGAUAACUUCGGGAAACCGGAGCUAAUACCGGAUAAUAUUUUGAACCGCAUGGUUCAAAAGUGAAAGACGGUCUUGCUGUCACUUAUAGAUGGAUCCGCGCUGCAUUAGCUAGUUGGUAAGGUAACGGCUUACCAAGGCAACGAUGCAUAGCCGACCUGAGAGGGUGAUCGGCCACACUGGAACUGAGACACGGUCCAGACUCCUACGGGAGGCAGCAGUAGGGAAUCUUCCGCAAUGGGCGAAAGCCUGACGGAGCAACGCCGCGUGAGUGAUGAAGGUCUUCGGAUCGUAAAACUCUGUUAUUAGGGAAGAACAUAUGUGUAAGUAACUGUGCACAUCUUGACGGUACCUAAUCAGAAAGCCACGGCUAACUACGUGCCAGCAGCCGCGGUAAUACGUAGGUGGCAAGCGUUAUCCGGAAUUAUUGGGCGUAAAGCGCGCGUAGGCGGUUUUUUAAGUCUGAUGUGAAAGCCCACGGCUCAACCGUGGAGGGUCAUUGGAAACUGGAAAACUUGAGUGCAGAAGAGGAAAGUGGAAUUCCAUGUGUAGCGGUGAAAUGCGCAGAGAUAUGGAGGAACACCAGUGGCGAAGGCGACUUUCUGGUCUGUAACUGACGCUGAUGUGCGAAAGCGUGGGGAUCAAACAGGAUUAGAUACCCUGGUAGUCCACGCCGUAAACGAUGAGUGCUAAGUGUUAGGGGGUUUCCGCCCCUUAGUGCUGCAGCUAACGCAUUAAGCACUCCGCCUGGGGAGUACGACCGCAAGGUUGAAACUCAAAGGAAUUGACGGGGACCCGCACAAGCGGUGGAGCAUGUGGUUUAAUUCGAAGCAACGCGAAGAACCUUACCAAAUCUUGACAUCCUUUGACAACUCUAGAGAUAGAGCCUUCCCCUUCGGGGGACAAAGUGACAGGUGGUGCAUGGUUGUCGUCAGCUCGUGUCGUGAGAUGUUGGGUUAAGUCCCGCAACGAGCGCAACCCUUAAGCUUAGUUGCCAUCAUUAAGUUGGGCACUCUAAGUUGACUGCCGGUGACAAACCGGAGGAAGGUGGGGAUGACGUCAAAUCAUCAUGCCCCUUAUGAUUUGGGCUACACACGUGCUACAAUGGACAAUACAAAGGGCAGCGAAACCGCGAGGUCAAGCAAAUCCCAUAAAGUUGUUCUCAGUUCGGAUUGUAGUCUGCAACUCGACUACAUGAAGCUGGAAUCGCUAGUAAUCGUAGAUCAGCAUGCUACGGUGAAUACGUUCCCGGGUCU